rnacentral:rRNA from 1 species
AGAGUUUGAUCCUGGCUCAGAACGAACGCUGGCGGCGUGCCUAACACAUGCAAGUCGUGCGAGAAAGUUUCCUUCGGGAAGCGAGUAAAGCGGCGCACGGGUGAGUAACACGUGGGUAACCUACCCUAGAGUCUGGGAUAACCAGGGGAAACCCUAGCUAAUACCGGAUGAUCCCUUAGAGCCUUCGGGUUCUUUGGAGAAAGAUGGCCUCUUCUUGAAAGCUAUCGCUCUUGGAUGGGCCCGCGGCCCAUUAGCUUGUUGGUGAGGUAAAAGCUCACCAAGGCUUUGAUGGGUAGCUGAUCUGAGAGGAUGAUCAGUCACACUGGAACUGAGACACGGUCCAGACUCCUACGGGAGGCAGCAGUGGGGAAUUUUGGGCAAUGGGGGAAACCCUGACCCAGCAACGCCGUGUGCAGGAUGAAGGCCCUCGGGUCGUAAACUGCUGUCAGAGGGGAAGAAAUGCCUUGCGGCCAAUACCCGCAGGGUUUGACGGUACCCUCAAAGGAAGCGCCGGCUAACUCCGUGCCAGCAGCCGCGGUAAUACGGAGGGCGCAAGCGUUGUUCGGAAUUACUGGGCGUAAAGCGCG